UGGAAUGGUUCCUGACUAAAAUCUAUAUGGCCUCUGGAUUGGACUGCGGCCGAUCAGGCUGUUGGUGAGGUAAUGGCCCACCAAACCUGUAACCGGUACGGGCUCUGAGAGGAGGAGCCCGGAGAUGGGUACUGAGAAAAGGACCCAGGCCCUAUGGGGCGCAGCAGGCGCGAAACCUCUGCAAUAGGCGAAAGCCUGACAGGGUUACUCUGAGUGAUUUCCGUUAAGGAGAUCUUUUGGCACCUCUAAAAAUGGUGCAGAAUAAGGGGUGGGCAAGUCUGGUGUCAGCCGCCGCGGUAAUACCAGCACCCCGAGUGGUCGGGACGUUUAUUGGGCCUAAAGCAUCCGUAGCCGGUUCUGCAAGUCUUCCGUUAAAUCCACCUGCUUAACAGAUGGGCUGCGGAAGAUACUAUAGAGCUAGGAGGCGGGAGAGGCAAGCGGUACUCGAUGGGUAGGGGUAAAAUCCGUUGAUCCAUUGAAGACCACCAGUGGCGAAGGCGGCUUGCCAGAACGCGCUCGACGGUGAGGGAUGAAAGCUGGGGGAGCAAACCGGAUUAGAUACCCGGGUAGUCCCAGCCGUAAACGAUGCAGACUCGGUGAUGGGUUGGCUUCGCGCUAACCCAGUGCCGCAGGGAAGCCGUUAAGUCUGCCGCCUGGGUAGUACGGUCGCAAGACUGAAACUUAAAGGAAUUGGCGGGGGAGCACCACAAGGGGUGAAGCCUGCGGUUCAAUUGGAGUCAACGCCGG
rnacentral:rRNA from 1 species